AGACAUCGAGCAGCCCUGCUGAAAAACACUCAUAUAGGAAAGGAGCAGAGGAGAGCGGCUGAAGGAAUGCAGAGCAGAGGUGGGAGCAGCACGGAGUGAUAGCGCAUGGAACGGGCGAUAAGAUUGCUCGGGGUGGUUUAUCAGCACCCAGCAGCAGAGCAGCAGGAGAUCUGCUCCAAGCGAUGGAUGGACUCUGCAUACAAAGGACAUUGCUUCUUUUUUGGAAAUCCAGCUUCCUAUGGGAGCACAGUCGGAGCCCAGGGAAGCCAUCUGGAGCCUCCUGGCUCACCCAAUGGGCUGGGGCAGGGAAUGGCACCAGCUCCUUUUGGACCUCCUGCCCACCAUCUUCUGACAGCCGGCACCAUACCGGUCCUGGCCCCGCCAGAACCUGUGGCACAGACUGGUGCCAUCAGCAGGGGGGGUCCGUGUGUGCCCCGUCCAGCACUAGUGCCAGCCAAGCGCACGUGUGCAAGGAGCAGCAUAAGAGCACAGCAGCAGAAUACAGCAGCACUCGGGGGUCCCUCAGCUCCACUGCCCAGAAAAUACUUCCUUCAACCCAAUGGCUUCUGCCAUAGCCCUGGUCCUUGUGCUGAGCACACGACCGUGUCCCCACCGCCAACCACUGCAUCCUCCACGCCUUGGUCACCUCUUCCAGACUGCGUCUUCCACCUCUGGGUUGCCUCUUCCAGCCUGUGGAGCCCACUCAGUCCUUCCCGUGCUUCAUCAUUCCUGUAUUUGUCCGAUUUCUCACGAUGUGGGACAAUAAGAUGUGACACC
rnacentral:lncRNA from 7 species